UGUGGGUGGGUAGGGUGGUGUGGAGGUGGGAAACGCUUGAUUUAGGGGAUACCUGCGGGAAAUAGGAGGCUUAGGGGCUUGGAGGACCCACAUCGAGCCCUUUGGAGAGGUGCGCGUACCUCUCUCAUCGCCCUUUAGUGGGCACAGUGCAUUCCCCAGGUUGCUUUGGUGGCAUAAAUGUGGCUGUUCCUUUCACGCCGUGUUUUUAAAUAAAGAGGGAAGCUUUUCUCUAAGGGUUGAGCGACAGGAAAGAGGUUUUUUUAUAGCACUGCCUCCCACACGGGGGUUCCUCCCAGCUGAUGCCUUAUUUAGUUCUUACUCUGCCUACUAUACUCGCACCCGGAGUAUGCAGAGUGCUUUUCAUUUACAAAGGGAAACGCAGUCUAAAAAGGGAAAGACUCAAAACGCAUGGGAAAAGAAUAAAAUGUGCAAGGAAAGGCCUGAUAACAUUGUGUUCUGUUUGUAUUUCAGAGCGAAGGAGGAGAUCUGGGCAGACCUUGAGGGCAAGGCAUAGCUCUUAUCCCCAUUCCUCACUGGAAUGUAUUGUGUGUAUAAACACAGACUUCUUUGUCUACAUCUUAUUUCUUCUCACCUCCCCUUCAGCACUGCAUAGUUGUCCCAGUUCAUUGCAGGGUAGUGGUACCAGAUAGCCUUUAAAGCCACUGCACUCUCAGAAGCACAGUACUGAAGAGACAACCACAAACCACUGUAAUACACUUUUCUGUCUAAAAUCUGUUUUGUAAAGAACAGCAGCAGAAGGCCAGGCAGGAUGCCCUGAGGUCACUGAUCUUCCCUAGCUCUCAUAUAAUAGCACAUAUGGCUCCCAGCUGCUCUGUGUCCAAGAGCAAUAAAUGUUUUAUGUUUCACCAACUGCACUGAGCAUGUCUGGCUUUUUGAGAGGACUGAAGUUG